GACGAACGCUGGCGGCGUGCCUAAUACAUGCAAGUAGAACGCACAGUUUAUACCGUAGCUUGCUACACCAUAGACUGUGAGUUGCGAACGGGUGAGUAACGCGUAGGUAACCUGCCUGGUAGCGGGGGAUAACUAUUGGAAACGAUAGCUAAUACCGCAUAAUAUUGAUUAUUGCAUGAUAAUUGAUUGAAAGAUGCUAUUGCAUCACUACCAGAUGGACCUGCGUUGUAUUAGCUAGUAGGUGAGGUAACGGCUCACCUAGGCGACGAUACAUAGCCGACCUGAGAGGGCGAUCGGCCACACUGGGACUGAGACACGGCCCAGACUCCUACGGGAGGCGGCAGUAGGGAAUCUUCGGCAAUGGACGAAAGUCUGACCGAGCAACGCCGCGUGAGUGAAGAAGGUUUUCGGAUCGUAAAGCUCUGUUGUAAGAGAAGAACGGGUGUGAGAGUGGAAAGUUCACACUGUGACGGUAUCUUACCAGAAAGGGACGGCUAACUACGUG
rnacentral:rRNA from 1 species